rnacentral:rRNA from 1 species
UGCCAGCCGCCGCGGUAAUACGGAGGGUGCAAGCGUUAAUCGGAAUUACUGGGCGUAAAGCGCGCGUAGGCGGUUUUGUAAGUCGGAUGUGAAAUCCCUGGGCUUAACCUGGGAACUGCAUUCGAUACUGCAUAACUAGAGUAUGGUAGAGGGAAGUGGAAUUUCCAGUGUAGCGGUGAAAUGCGUAGAUAUCGGAAGGAACACCAGUGGCGAAGGCGGCCUUCUGGACCAAAACUGACGCUGAGGUACGAAAGCGUGGGGAGCGAACAGGAUUAGAUA